UAGGGAAUCUUCCACAAUGGACGAAAGUCUGAUGGAGCAACGCCGCGUGAGUGAUGAAGGGUUUCGGCUCGUAAAACUCUGUUGUUGGAGAAGAACGGGUGUCAGAGUAACUGUUGACAUCGUGACGGUAUCCAACCAGAAAGCCACGGCUAACUACGUGCCAGCAGCCGCGGUAAUACGUAGGUGGCAAGCGUUGUCCGGAUUUAUUGGGCGUAAAGCGAGCGCAGGCGGUUUUUUAGGUCUGAUGUGAAAGCCUUCGGCUUAACCGGAGAAGUGCAUCGGAAACCGGGAGACUUGAGUGCAGAAGAGGACAGUGGAACUCCAUGUGUAGCGGCGAAAUGCGUAGAUAUAUGGAAGAACACCAGUGGCGAAGGCGGCUGUCUGGUCUGCAACUGACGCUGAGGCUCGAAAGCAUGGGUAGCGAACAGGAUUAGAUACCCUGGUAGUCCAUGCCGUAAACGAUGAGUGCUAAGUGUUGGAGGGUUUCCGCCCUUCAGUGCUGCAGCUAACGCAUUAAGCACUCCGCCUGGGGGAGUACGACCGCAAGGUUGAAAC
rnacentral:rRNA from 1 species